GAGGGUACAGCUCAGUGGUAGAGCACAUGCUUAGCAUGCAUGAGGUCCUGGGUUCAAUCCCCAGUACCUCCU
rnacentral:tRNA from 1 species